rnacentral:rRNA from 1 species
UACGAAGGGGGCUAGCGUUGCUCGGAAUCACUGGGCGUAAAGGGUGCGUAGGCGGGUUUCUAAGUCAGAGGUGAAAGCCUGGAGCUCAACUCCAGAACUGCCUUUGAUACUGGAAGUCUUGAGUUCGGGAGAGGUGAGUGGAACUGCGAGUGUAGAGGUGAAAUUCGUAGAUAUUGGGAAGAACACCGAUGGCGAAGGCAGCCAUCUGGACCGACACUGACGCUGAGGCGCGAAAGCGUGGGGAGCAAACAGG